GUUGAGGAAGAUAAUGACGGUACUCAACAAGGAAGUGACGGCUAACUACGUGCCAGCAGCCGCGGUAAAACGUAGGUCACAAGCGUUGUCCGGAAUUACUGGGUGUAAAGGGAGCGCAGGCGGGAAGACAAGUUGGAAGUGAAAUCCAUGGGCUCAACCCAUGAACUGCUUUCAAAACUGUUUUUCUUGAGUAGUGCAGAGGUAGGCGGAAUUCCCGGUGUAGCGGUGGAAUGCGUAGAUAUCGGGAGGAACACCAGUGGCGAAGGCGGCCUACUGGGCACCAACUGACGCUGAGGCUCGAAAGUGUGGGUAGCAAACAGGAUUAGAUACCCUGGUAGUCCACACUGUAAACGAUGAUUACUAGGUGUUGGAGGAUUGACCCCUUCAGUGCCGCAGUUAACACAAUAAGUAAUCCACCUGGGGAGUACGACCGCAAGGUUGAAACUCAAAGGAAUUGACGGGGGCCCGCACAAGCAGUGGAGUAUGUGGUUUAAUUCGACGCAACGCGAAGAACCUUACCAAGUCUUGACAUCCCUUGACGAUGCUGGAAACAGUAUUUCUCUUCGGAGCAAGGAGACAGGUGGUGCAUGGUUGUCGUCAGCUCGUGUCGUGAGAUGUUGGGUUAAGUCCCGCAACGAGCGCAACCCUUAUGGUCAGUUACUACGCAAGAGGACUCUGGCCAGACUGC
rnacentral:rRNA from 1 species